rnacentral:rRNA from 1 species
UACGAAGGGGGCUAGCGUUGCUCGGAAUUACUGGGCGUAAAGCGCGCGCAGGUGGUUCCUUAAGUCUGAUGUGAAAGCCCACGGCUCAACCGUGGAGGGUCAUUGGAAACUGGGGAACUUGAGUGCAGAAGAGGAAAGUGGAAUUCCAAGUGUAGCGGUGAAAUGCGUAGAUAUCUGGAGGAAUACCGGUGGCGAAGGCGGCAUCCUGGACCGGCAUUGACGCUGAUGAGCGAAAGCUAGGGGAGCAAACGGG